CCGUCACAACGGCUUCCUGGCGUGGCGGGGAAUAACCCAACGGAGCA
rnacentral:ncRNA from 1 species